UAAUUCCUCGGGCAGUAGGUAAAAGAAACUGCCCCAGGCCAAAUUACGGGGUCCAGUGGCUGUAUGGAAUUCAUCGAUUGCUUCAGUCUGGAAAUACUAAAACUCUUUUAUGAGACAUUCUCCUAAGGUUUUACUGGCCGGUUGCAACUUUGAAGUAUGAGAUGUUGCUGUCUGAUUAUAUUUUGGCUGAUGACAAUGGAAGAUUUAUCCAAUACAAGCUGAGUUGAGUAACUGAACUGGAGGGGAGAUGAGUGAGUGAGGAAGGGAAACUAUCGCACCAGACAUGUGCUGCUAUCUAGUGGCGCGAAAAACAAACGAACCAGUCCGAUCUCCAGACCAUGGAUCGAUAUAAAACAGUUUCCAACUUUGGAGUUUCGACUAUAGAUCGCGCUCAGCCUAUAUUACACAGAAAAGGAAUCACAUUCCUUCACUGUAGCCUACACUGCAUUGUGCUUUGGAAGUGUAGAAAAACCACCUCAGACCUGAAGAACAAUAUUUUUCAUUGAAGAUUUAUUUAUCUUCACCAUUUAUGUCAAUAUGAUUUUCUAAGACCUAAAUUAUUCAUGACUGUAACCUAUCAAAUUUUAGCCCAUUGGCUGUUGACUAUGUAACACAUUCGAAUAUAUAAAUAUUAUAAUUUAUAAAUUUAUAGCAUGUGUACUAUUUUACAAUGACCACAGAAUAUUACAUUUAAGAAGCAUGAACAAAUUAUACGUUUACAGUGAAGAG